rnacentral:lncRNA from 1 species
AUGGAGGGGAACUGUGACAUCCCAGACUGACCUUCAGCUCAGAGGCUCAGGAGGUCAGUCCUAUUGGGUGACGAUGAUCGGAUUUCGUGAGAAUCCGACACAAAGGACUCAGAGGCAGAUCGAACCACCGAAAGCUCAGACUGUUAGACCACGGGGGUACCUUCCUGCGCGGCCUGCGGACACCGGCCGCACUUCGCCAGUCGGGCAGUGGCACAGCUUACGUGCAAGCGGCCCCAGCGCAUGUCUCAUAGAAUCAUGUCGGCAAGGCCAUCCCAACCUCUCUACUGAGCAGGCCCUACAGUCUCCGUGGCCUCGGGAAACAAGCUCCUACCCCACUCACUCGGGAGCGAACACCGGUGACCGGGGCUGCGCUGCGGACUUUUCUCCACGUUGACUUCGAGGAUUCAGCCCUUUUUCUGUCUCCUGUCCUGCUGCCGUUGAAGGCAGGGGUUGGCCAACUAUGGACUGUGGACUCGUCACUUAUUUCAUAAAGUUUCAUCGGACACAGCGUCGAAUGUUCGCGUGUUGCUCCUGCCUCUCUGCCCGGAGGACGGAGCCGAGUGGCUCUCCCAGCUCCUGACGUCGCAGCAGGACAACCCGCCACGGCUCCGCUGCAGAGAAGUUGGCCAGCUUUGCUCCUGGGCCGGUUUGUCCGCUGCCUCGAGCCUUCAGGAAUAAAAGAGCACAGAGAACUUAGGAACA